rnacentral:rRNA from 1 species
AGGGUGUAAACGCUGCAGACUUGGUGUUGGGAACCCUUCGGGGGUGCUCAGUGCCGGAGAGAAGUUGUUAAGUCUGCUACUUGGGGAGUACGUCCGCAAGGAUGAAACUUAAAGGAAUUGGCGGGGGAGCACCGCAACGGGAGGAGCGUGCGGUUUAAUUGGAUUCAACGCCGAAAAACUCACCAGCAGCGACUGUUACAUGAAGGCCGAGAUGAAGACUCUGCUAGAUUUUCAGAGAGGAGGUGCAUGGCGUCAGUGACU